CAGUAGCCGCGGUAACACGGAGGGUGCAAGCGUUUAUCGGAAUUACUGGGCGUAAAGCGUGCGUAGGCGGUUUGUUAAGUCUGCUGUGAAAUCCCCGGGCUCAACCUGGGAAUGGCAGUGGAUACUGGCAAGCUAGAGUGUGUCAAAGGAUGGUGGAAUUCCCGGUGUAGCGGUGAAAUGCGAAGAGAUCUGGAGGAAUACCGGUGGCGAAGGCGGCCCCCUGGACAAAGACUGACGCUCAGGUGCGAAAGCGUGGGGAGCAAACAGGAUUAGAUACCCGCGUAGUCCCUGUCUCUUAUAC
rnacentral:rRNA from 1 species